rnacentral:lncRNA from 1 species
UAAAACCUUGUGAGGUAGCUCCGGUCCACCUAAAAGGUGUAAGUGUCCGAUUAUCGGCCAUGCUCCUUUUGCAUGUGGUGGCUUUUGGUACUUCCCAGCGUUUUCAUUCUUUCUGUGGAGGAUAGGGAGUAGUAAACGGUGUACAAGAAUAGAGACAAAGAUUGUUGCAACAAUAGUUGAUACUAAGAGGUAGAACUCCAUGGCUGAGUGAGCAAAUUGAAUGCAUGGUUGUAUUUAUUUGCGAACCUAUAGAUAAUAACAGUAAAUCUUAUGGUGAUCCUUUAACGAUCAAUCAUGUCAACCUUUAACAAUAAAGUGUAAAACAAAAGACAGAAAAGUUUUAUUCUUUUUAAUCAUUUACCGUUAGGCUCUUUAUAGCUUUAUGUGUGUAGGUUAAGCUCGUACCCAUGUAUAUAAACUCCAUGUUUUUCUAUUUCCAAGUAAUGAAAUGAAUCUCUCAAACAUUUCAUCAUCUAAAAUUCUAAAAGCUUCUUUUUCCCACUUUGGACAUUCGUUGUUGUAAUGACCGAAUUCACCGCAUUUGUAGCAUUUUACAUGACUCUUGUCCCGAACACGUUCCUUACCAUCUUGGCUCCUCCCGGACCCACGACCUCUUCCCCGGCCAUGUCCAAAGCCAUCCCGAUGCGAACCGCCACCGCCACAAUGUAUACAACCAUCCGACUUUUCUUCUCUUGACAACAACAACCCACCAUGAACGUCCUCCACCUUCUCGGAUGCUUUGAUGCGCUCCUCAUAUGCCUUUAGUCUACCGACGGCUUCAUCAAAAAGCAUCGUAUCCAACUCAAAGCAUUGCUCAAUCGACGCCACAAUUUGAAGAAAGGACUUGGGCAUAGAAUCAAGUAACCUUUUCACCAAGUCAACUUCUUCAAGUUCAUGUCCGAGACUCCGUGCUUUCGAAGCUAAACCACUCAACUUGGCUGCAAAAUCAUCAACGGUUUCUCCCUCCUUCAUACGCAAGCUUUCUAGUUCCCUCUUCAAAGUUGCUAAUCGAGCCGUUCUUACCAGAUCCACACCCAAAUACCGAGUUUUUAAUCCUUCCCAAACCCUUUUUGGAUCGGUGUAAUCGGACAUUUGCAACACCAUCUCUUCUGGUAUUGCUUGAAACAAGAAAGCAAGAGCUUGUUUUUUCUUCUUUGGAUCCGAUUCUCCACCCGAUGUCUUUGCUUCAACAGUCUCCCAUAUGCCAUGUGCAUCCAUGAUGGACUUUACUUUGACUGCCCAUACUGGAUAGUUGGUUGGGGUCAAAACCGGAAUCUGAUAUGACAUUGAAUCACCAUCUUUUACUGCCAACGCCAUUUUUCCUUUCUUAUGACUGCCCCAAACUUUUCAGAUCCAACCCGUUCCAAUUGAGACUCCACUUCCACCAGUCAAGAAAACCAAGCUCCUGCUUCUUCUGUUUUCUUUUACCAGCUGUGAGUAAGCAAAAUCAAAACCCACCCGUUCUGAUUUCUUUCCGCUUCUCUUCCCCGCUUCUGGUUAGGCUCUCUUUAACCCGGAACAAGGAUCAUCAAGGAUGGAGCUGCAUCUUUUCUUGUUAUAAGAACUUACACCCCCUUCAACAGAACCUUGGUGCUCUGAUACCAAAUGUUGAUUCUGAAUUCUGAAAUCUCCCACUCAAAUGUCAAAACUCACGGAUGAAAGGAAGCUCACAAUAUAAAAUAGUUAAUGAAAAGAAAAGAGGAAGAGUCCAGAAGUUAACAGAGGAAAAAAAAAAACACAUUUUAUUCAUGAAAAGAGAUGGCAAUAUAUAGCCUUAUAGAGUACCACGUGAGCAUGAAAGUAGCCAUAUAGUUCUACCCAUUACUUCACCUAAAGAACCGAUACACCCAUGACUCAAUCUUCCAACGUCACUUUCUCAACGUACAACUCCAACAAAUUCAGUCAAACCAAAAUACCUAUUCUACCUAAUAAACUAUUAAUAAAAACAUAACAUAUAAAACUAUAAAUAAAUCUAAACCCAACCAUAUGCAUAAUCACGUGACCUUGGUAAAUAAUCGAUUAAUUCCAACAAGCGGCAAGGGACGUCUCUGCCGGUAGCAACGGUCAACUGGUGACCUUGGAUUGAUCUGAACAGGAAGGAGCGAAGUGGUGGCGGCCGAGAGAUGAAAGAAAGAGAUGGCGGCUGUAAUAUGGGGUGUUAGGUUUAGGGUUUGUGAAGGUGACAUGUUCAUAUACCCGAUCCUUUCAAACUUCAUUCCAUAACAACACCUUUGGUCCCUCCUUGAGUCUUUAAUUUUUGCCAUUUGGUUUUCCAGAGACCAACACCCCACUAAUUACUAUUUAAUUUCUGAGCCGUAAUAAUAUAAAAUAAUAUUAACAAUUACUUUCCGAGGCUCCUAAUUUAUUAUAUAAUUACUCACUUCAAAAUGGGAUGUUACAACUGAGUUGAUGAGAAACGUAAGGAAAAUUAAUCAUUUUGUUUUUUCUUUUCAAAUCCUUCCAAAUCGAAAGGAAAAAUAGGAAGGAACGUGAUCAUUUCAUUUCUCUCCACCCAUUCAUUUUAAGAAACUCGGAAUCACCAAAUUUUUUUACUUUCUUCUCAUUUUCACUAACUUUUUUUUUUCUUUUCUCUCGUUAAGUUGAACUCCAGAAUUGGGUUAAUCUUAUUUAAAAAUAGUUUUUGUAACACUAUAUUUGUAAUGUAUUUGUAAUUCACAUGUAAUUGACAUUUAAUUUAAUACUCUCUCUCUCUCUCUCUCUCUCUCUCUCUCUCUCUAUAUANNNNNNNNNNNNNNNNNNNNNNNNNNNNNNNNNNNNNNNNNNNAGACACACACUUAAUUUUGACAAUGAAGACAUUAUUAUAUGAAAACUGAUUCGUACACAGCAUAUAAAUACAAGACGAGGAGAGGCUUCAUUACAUAAUAAUUAUGAAGCUUUUAUUAACUAUAUAAGUAAUAGGAGUAUUCAAAAACAAUACUCAAGAUCCAUCACGUUCCAUACUGGCUGUCCUAAUUGGGUUAUUUUGCUCGCCCCCAUUAUAAUUGAUUGCUUUAUGGAGAAUGAUUGACGGAGUGGGAUUUGUAGGUGAUUUGAAGUUCAUAUAUCACUAACCAACUUUAUACAUAUCAGUGGCUAAACGAGGGCCCAAAAGAACAUCAAGUGGUGUUUUUUUGACAUUAGUCGCCCCCAUGCUUUCAGUCAUAUCAAUAGGUUCGUUUGUAGGUUUUUUGAGCACAAACUGUUGUAUCAAACGAGCUAGCGUUAAACCCAAAACCUGAAGGGCAAAUAAAACACCAGGGCACAUUCUUCUACCACUACCAAAAGUAAGCAAUUCAUAAUGGUUUCCCUUGACAUCAAUAUCCUUGUGACUGGUCAAGAAUCUCUCAGGCUUGAAUUCGGUGGGAUCUGACCAUAUAUUUGGGUCACGUUGCAACUUCCAAAGAUUUACCACCAGACGAGUUCCUUUUGGAAUGUUGUAGCCACCCACAAUGCAGUCCUCCACUGACUCGUGAGGAACAGAUAGCGGUCCAGCUGGGUAUAAGCGCAAAGUCUCUUUGAUGAUGGCAUUGAGGUAGACUAAGUUCUUCAGGUCUGACUCCUCCACCAGUCUGUCCCUUCCAACAUGCUCAUCAAUUUCCUCUUGGGCAGUUUCUAAUGCUUUUGGGUUGUUGAGCAACAAUGCUAAAGCCCACGUUAAUGUCACAGAUGUCGUCUCAACGCCUGCUGCUAGGACUUGCUGUGAACAGGAAUUUACACCAAUUAAAAACUCGUGGAUUAGGUUAUAUAGUUGAAAGGCUGAAGAAAUAUUUAAUGUAAUAAUGAAACACUGAGAUGAAAAGGUUGAGUUUACUAGACUUGUCGCUUUGAUAAUUGUAUCAUGGUCAAAACCCGGGAAUUCCUCUUUAGAAGCACCUCGAAGAAUGGAAAUUAGCACAUGCAUAAAGUCUUGGUUCGCUUCAUGUUGAUGUAUAUACUUACUCUCCUGUUUGUGCUCCUUUAACCAUCGGUCAAAGAUAUUGUCCAAAUCCUUCCCAAUAUUCUUCAUCAAUUUUUUGUAUCCACCCACAUCCAACCAGUUGAGAUAAGGUAUAAAAUCAGCAACCAAAAAUGCGCCAAAUAACUCAAUGUAUUUCCCUGCCACAGCCUGAAAUCGAACCCCUUCUUCAUCGUUUGGCAAAAACCUCUUUCCUGAAACAAUCCUAACAAUAAUGUUUAAAAGCAAGUUCCCAAACCAUUGACUCAUCUCCACCUUUACCAUCUGUGACUCUGAACUUUCAGUAAGUUUAUUCGUUACCCAGACAUCAUAUAACUCUUUAACGGAUGCUCUAACUUCUGAAGCUCGAAUAUGUCCAAGCAUCUCAACUCUUCGUUGAGAAAGAACCUCCAACACAAGCAUCUUACGCAUUUUUCGCCAAUAGUCCCCAUAUGGAGCACGGCCAAGCACCGCAUAAUUAUAGGCCAUGAUUUUCGAUGCCUCCAUUUUCGGUCGACUUGCAAAAGCCUUGUCAUUGGUAGUAAAGCAUUCCUUAGCAAUCGCUGCAUCACUCACCACCAAAGCUUGAUGAACACCAAGCUUGAUGGCGAAAACAGGGCCAUGUUUGUCUGCCAUGUCACCUAAAACCUUGUGAGGUAGCUCAGGUCCACCUAAAAGGUGUAAGUGUCCGAUUAUCGGCCAUGCCCCUUUUGCUUGUGGUGGCUUCAGGUUCUUCCCUGUGUUUUCCUUAUUUCUGUGGAGGAUAGGGAGUAGUAAACGGUGUACAAGAAUAGAGACAAAGAUUGUUGUAACAAUAGCUGAUACUAAGAGGUAGAACUCCAUGGCCG